rnacentral:rRNA from 1 species
AUUGAACGCUGGCGGCAUGCCUUACACAUGCAAGUCGAACGGCAGCAUGAUCUAGCUUGCUAGAUUGAUGGCGAGUGGCGAACGUGUGAGUAAUACAUCGGAACGUGCCCUGUAGUGGGGGAUAACUAGUCGAAAGAUUAGCUAAUACCGCAUACGACCUGAGGGUGAAAGUGGGGGACCGCAAGGCCUCAUGCUAUAGGAGCGGCCGAUGUCUGAUUAGCUAGUUGGUGAGGUAAAGGCUCACCAAGGCGACGAUCAGUAGCUGGUCUGAGAGGACGAUCAGCCACCCUGGGACUGAGACGCGGCCCAGACUCCUACGGGAGGCAGCAGUGGGGAAUUUUGGACAAAGGGCGAAAGCCUGAUCCAUAAAUGACGCGUGUGUGAAGAAGGCCUUCGGGUUGUAAAGCACUUUUGUCCGGAAAGAAAUGGCUCUGGUUAAUACCUGGGGUCGAUGACGGUACCGGAAGAAUAAGGACCGGCUAACUACGUG